rnacentral:lncRNA from 1 species
UUGACUUCACGUAUAUUUCUUAUUUGGGAUCAUUUCCCAACUUCCCUCUUCAGAUUUCCCAACCUUUUAUUGCUGUCAAUUAUCUGAUCAAGUAAGCAAGUUUCUUCCCUUUUCUUUCUCCAUAACAGUUUUUUUUGUAUGUGAUUUUGUUUAUUUUACUUGAAUCCAUACUCAUAUGAUUAUGCUGCUCUAUCAUAGUUUUCCUAGUGGUUAGUGCUAAAGUUCAUAUGAUUGUGGUUGACUUUGGAAGUAGCAUACUUUAGUUUCUGGGUUUAAAGUUUUUCAUGUUUUUUAUUGCUUUUGAUUACUACAUAAGGUAGGAAAUUCAGCAUCUUUAGUGGGUUUCUCGGUUUUAGUUGAGAUAAUGCAUAGGAAAGGGACGAUGGGGGCGAACUUUUGGGGAAUUUGCUGGGGAUAUAAAUCUAUGUUUGGUUUUGGUCGAGUUGAUUUUGUGAUCUUUGAGUUUCUUGACUAAAUUUACUGGAGAAUUAUUGGAUUUUAGUUUGGGAAAGACACUAAGGAAAGUUUCUUUUAAUUCAAAGAUGAGGAAAGAAAAUGUUGUCAAAAGCUUCACUUUUGUGCAGGGCUACUUGGAAGUAUAUGAUUCUUGAAGGAAAGUAAUUAUCCCGAGAAUGUGGUUUGUUAAAGUGAAAGAAAUGUGAAUUGAGACUAAAAUGAUGGAGUGAUACUAGAAUUAGACAUAAGCAGGCUCUGAAUUCUAUAGAUCCUAUUUAAUUUGGACUCCCUAGAUUUAGUUAGCUUAUAUACCAGACAAAUGUGGAGGCAGUAAUUUUAUUUUGCACUUUUUUUUUCCGUCUUCCACAAAAAUUUAGGAUCCAAACAGGCCCUAAAAAUAGCAAGAAAAAUAAUGUGUAAAGAGAGAAAACAAGUUUUGCAUGUGGGCUCUUGACAACAUUGGAUAGACUCUCUUUUCCUACUUGAUUGCUUUUGUGUUUCAAGAUAUGGAUUGCUGAAAGUUGGAGGUUAAUUUUUAAGUUUUUGCUGUUUCAAUCCUAGGUGUUUCUAUGGGGACUAAAUGUGGGGCCACUGCAGUUACUUUUGUACUGUUGUUGCUUUUGUCCCCUGCUGUGUUUUCAGCAUCAAAUGAUAAAUUGAUUAGAGUUGCACUGAAGAAAACAAAGUUAGAUCAGAUCAGCCGGUUUUCUGGAAAUGUUGAUCUUACUGAAGGGGGUUUUGCAAGAAUUAAUCGUCGUCGUGGAAAUG